rnacentral:rRNA from 1 species
GGAUAUCGAAAGCGCAAGCGCCAGAGGGUGAGUCUGCGGCCUAUCAGGUAGUAGGUGGUGUAACGGACCACCUAGCCUAAGACGGGUACGGGCCUUGAGAGAGGGAGCCCGGAGAUGGGUUCUGAGACACGAACCCAGGCCCUACGGGGCGCAGCAGGCGCGAAACCUUCGCACUGCGCGAAAGCGCGACGAGGGGAGCCCGAGUGCCUCUCCAUUUCGGGGAGGCUUUUCACAAGCCUAAAAAGCUUGUGGAAUAAGGGCUGGGCAAGACGGGUGCCAGCCGCCGCGGUAAUACCCGCAGCUCGAGUGGUGGUCGCUUUUAUUGAGCCUAAAACGUUCGUAGUCGGCCUUGUAAAUCCCUGGGUAAAUCGGACCGCUUAACGGUUCGAAUUCCGGGGAGACUGCAAGGCUAGGGACCGGGCGAGGUCAGAGGUACUUUCGGGGUAGGAGUGAAAUCCUGUAAUCCCGAAGGGACCACCUGUGGCGAAAGCGUCUGACUUGAACGGCUCCGACGAUGAGGAACGAAGGCUAGGGGAGCAAACCGGAUUAGAUACCCGGGUAGUCCUAGCUGUAAACUCUGCCCGCUUGGUGUGGCCUGUCCUUCGGGGGCAGGCUGUGCCGGAGCGAAGGUGUUAAGCGGGCUGCUUGGGGAGAUACGGCCGCAAGGUUGAAACUUAAAGGAAUUGGCGGGGGAACACCGCAACGGGAGGAUGCGUGCGGUUUAA